rnacentral:tRNA from 1 species
UCCUUGGUGGCUCAGUGAUAAAGAAUCUGCCUCACAAGUAGGAGACUCAGGUUCGAUCCCUGAGUUGGGAA